UACGAAGGGGGCUAGCGUUGUUCGGAAUUACUGGGCGUAAAGCGCGCGCAGGCGGUCCUUUAAGUCAGGGGUGAAAGCCCAGAGCUCAACUCUGGAACUGCCUUUGAAACUAGAGGACUUGGGUACGGGAGAGGUGAGUGGAAUUCCGAGUGUAGAGGUGAAAUUCGUAGAUAUUCGGAAGAACACCAGUGGCGAAGGCGGCUCACUGGCCCGUUACCGACGCUCAGGCGCGACAGCGUGGGGAGCAAUCAGG
rnacentral:rRNA from 1 species